GAGCUGCGGGUAGCUUCGGGAUCGUCUUUCUAAGUUAAUGUUUACGAGCAUCGCUUAGCAACAGCGUUAGCUCGACGGAAGCGUCGCCAUGACAACAACAAUAAUGCACAACGUAGCACGUUCUAAGAAAAGGUGAGCACAGAGGCAGAGCUUCUAGUCUCCAGGAGACAGCUGAGCAAGAAAGUGCUGUCCCGUGGGGUGCAAUUAAAGUGAACGAAGACGACACCCCUGCCAUCUGAUCACCUGGUAAAAUGGCUUUACAGCCAUUCGCUGAUUGAUCCAUCUACGGGUACAGCCAUCCUGCUGAGCAAGGGUUGUGCUGCCAUUGGAGGAACAUUUCAGUCACUGAGGCGGAGGGGCUGGAAGGAGGAGUUGGCCGUCCAAUUGGGUUCUGGGGUGCUUCCCUGUUACUGCGGAGCCGGGGGUGGUCUGCUUGUCUCCACCCCAGGGAAAAGGGUAACAUCUCCUGGGUCUAGGUGUGGUUCCAGGUCCAGGGUACCUGGACCUGGGGCAUAGAGUAUGUUUGGG